GCAGUUCAAGGAUGUCAGUAGGUUGUGCAGAUGGUUCUGGAGCUUGGCAGAGAGCUCCGGGCAUGGCCAAAGCUCUAGGAACGUCCGCCACCCGAAGGGCUGCUGCCUCUGUGGUGUGGUGAGGCUGAUCCCAGAAGGCAGACGGAGAGAAGUGGUGGGCCAAGGAGGAACCCUGCAGACCAGCACCAGUGAAGGCUCAGGCAGAGGAGAGAGAGCCCACGAGGAGACAGGGCCCUAGGGACCCUGGGAAGUCCAGCCAAGCACAUCUGUGUUGCAGUCCCUGGGAUGAGCACAUUCAUUGAAGGCCAGAGGGAUCCCUGCUGUCGGAACCACAGCAAGUUUGUGUCAUCCUGUUUCUGUCAGUGGAAAGAGAUCUGAAAGACCUCUGAUUCCUAAUGGAAUCAUCAGGGCAAGUGCACCAAGGGCAAGAUUUCAAGUGGCUUUUAGUUGCUAAGA
rnacentral:lncRNA from 1 species